rnacentral:lncRNA from 1 species
CGAGGUAAUGCAGGAAAUUGUACAAAGGAACAGUGAGACAGGAAGAAUCUAUCUCUAGAAUUCAUGUAAUUUUCUUAAAAAGACUUUUUGAACAAGAUUAUUUAGAAGUAAUGUUUCAGUAGGGAGAGAAAUGUUUAAACAGAUUCAAGUACUCUAGUUAUGUGGAAACAUGAAGCAAUUUGGAGACUCUACCUCUUCUGUGUCUGAUAUAGUCCAUCAUUUAAAAAACCCAUCAGAUUCAAGUUGAACGAGCAUCUUUUUAAACUUUGGUGGUAGUCUCAAUCUGUCCCAUCUAAAAAGGAAAGACUAAGUUUCCCAAAGUCCAGUUGUUUUUCUGAGCUGCACUAGACACCCCCAGCAUGACCAUCAACGGCUCCAGUCUCCUCAGUACCAUGACACAGUAAAAAUGGCCCCUGCUGCACCUCAUUGCUAUCACCCCACAUCUGCAAUAGGCCCUAAGGGGAAGAGAAUAGUGAAUACCUGACCACUGUCAGCCAUUGUAGAGCUCUUUCAUAUUUUAAUCUCUCUUUAAGUUUGACCUUUAGAAUAUUUAAAAAAAGUCUGUAAAGCUCUUUUAUUAUCCACGUAGAAUUAUUAGCUUGCUCUACUCAAAUAUUGGAGAAGUAUCCUGAUGGGUUUAAUAGCACUGUUUUUACUAAAAUUUCUCUGCUGUUUCAGAAGAUGGCAUGCGCUCUCAAAUAUGGGCUGUACAUUGUUGAUAAAGCAGUCACAGAGGGGCCAGGGAUUUAGCUCAGUGGUUCUGGCACCUGUCUCGCAAGUGCAAGGUCCCAAGUUCAAUCCCUGGCACCAAAAAAAAAAAAAAGGCAGUCACAGAGGUGUGACGAGUGAGGCAGUUCUUGUACGCUGGAGUUUGUAGCUAGCUGAAGUGAUAAAUAUUGGAUUACAUACUUUAAAGGAGCAAGAGGUUAACAUAACAUUAUUGUCACAAUUUAACUCUUGAUGCUCACAGUAAAUGUUUCCUUUUAACACAGUUUGUGAGACAAUGAACACUGAGAAUUACAUACUUGAGCCUCAUUCCUCAAGACCCCACUACAGAAAAAGAGAAUGAAAUGCUGAAAACUGACAAACAUCUGAACCUGGGAAAUUACUAGGAAAAAACCAAAAUCUCAAAAAGUGACUAUAGUAAAUAACAGAUAAAGAUCAUUAUUCUCAUAUGCUAAAGGGACUACUAAUAUAUAAAUAUCCU